CCGUCUCUUCCCUUAAUUUCUGAGUCAACUCAUCAACCCCAUUUCCCUUAAAAUUCAGCGAGUAAGCCUCCACAAUAUCAUCACAGACGUUCCCAUUCUCAUCAGCCACGUGGUAGUAUAUAGUUCUUCCCUCAGAUUUAGGAGGCGAACUCACAUUAGAUUCAGUCGACUCUCGUCUCGAAAAAGUGUCAGAUUUGAUAGAGACGGAAGAAGGCGAACUGGAAUCGAAAUCCAAAGAAUCUAAAUGAGAGGUGGGUUGCGGCUCCGACUUCUUUUGAUGCGAAGAUUUGACUUGAAUCUCCACAACAUCAACAUGCCAAAGAACCCAAUCCUGAGUAGCAGUCCUAUGAGGAAUAUCAUGAGUCACCGAAUUUCUCCAAGGCGGAAGCCCCCCGUUAGCUCUCAAGAAGUUUGCAUACCGGGUCUUGAGCUUAAUAUGAGUUCCAUCCCUGAUGGGCUCCCACUCGACGGAGGAAUCAAGCCUCCUAGGCAAAGUCUGGAGGACCUUGCGACCGGUCAUGCCGAGAAGAAAAGGAUUGUUAGAGGCGGUAAGGUACUUACCAUAGCAAGACUUAAGGCGGAUUAUGGUGUCGGAACCCGGGACCAACUCGACAUACCAUCUAGCGUUCUUGGAGGAUCCGCUUCGGUCUUGAGAGACGGACUCCUCAUCUUCCUCAGCGUGCAGGUACUUGUCGUGGUGACUACGGAGACGCACGGCCUUGGCGUUGUGGAAGAACUCCAUAGCUGACCGGAAGUGGUUAGAAAUGGACUUCUUUGGAGAUAAUCUUGGAGACAUGGACUUGAUGACAGUCAAUCUUGGAGUCCUCCUCGAUGACACAACUGAAAUCGGUGAACCAGGUUCUGACCCCAAAUACUCAUCGGAAGCUGCUUCAAGAACAUCCUCAGGAACCGAAGAAAAACUCGACAUGGACGAUAAAUACUCUGCCAACGUCUCCGUUUCAACUGCUUCCACUGACUCUACAUCCCACAGAAUCCACCUCAGUGUUGAACCCGUGUGAGGCUCAUCGUGAGUAACUGAGUUUCUCCACGGCGGUGUACCACCGUUUCCACGCAAGAAUUUCCCACACCAGCUUUUUAGUUUCACCUGAAACCCGUCCCUUAUAGGCUCCCACUCGAGAUUCAAGUCAGUAAUCUUUUCAGGCAGAGUUUGAAUUACCCUUUUCCCUGUCAUACCUAAAAGAAAGGGUAAAUCAGAGGCAGUAAGGUAUCUGCCAUCGCAGGUUUUGAGACGGACAGCGUCUGUUCUCCCUUCCACGAGCUCCACGAGCCAUCUGGCUUUGCGGGACGAGCCAUUUUUGCUCUGACGGACAGUUUCCCCAUCGUCGUCGGCGAUCAAGUACUUAUCAAGGUGACUUCGAAGCUUGACUGCCAUGGUUUUGGUAAAUAACUCCAUGAACAACGAGAAGCGUACUACCCUCAACUGAUUAGAGAGAAGGGUUUUGCGCGUUGAGCUUGAACUUGGAGAGGAAAGAAGAAAAGGGUAUUCUUAUAUAUGGGGUUUGUGCAUGACCAUGGAG
rnacentral:misc_RNA from 1 species